rnacentral:rRNA from 1 species
GACGAACGCUGGCGGCGUGCUUAACACAUGCAAGUCGAACGGAAAGGCCCUGCUUGCCGGGUGCUCGAGUGGCGAACGGGUGAGUAACACGUGGGUGAUCUGCCCCUUACUUUGGGAUAAGCCUGGGAAACUGGGUCUAAUACUGGAUAGGACCAUGCUGUAGGUGGUGUGGUGGAAAGAUUAGUUUCGGUAAGGGAUGAGCUCGCGGCCUAUCAGCUUGUUGGUGGGGUAAUGGCCUACCAAGGCGUCGACGGGUAGCCGGCCUGAGAGGGUGGACGGCCACAUUGGGACUGAGAUACGGCCCAGACUCCUACGGGAGGCAGCAGUGGGGAAUAUUGCACAAUGGGCGCAAGCCUGAUGCAGCGACGCCGCGUGGGGGAUGACGGCCUUCGGGUUGUAAACUCCUUUCAGCCAUGACGAAGCCCUUGUGGUGACGGUAGUGUUAGAAGAAGCACCGGCUAACUACGUG